rnacentral:rRNA from 1 species
UACCCGCUGUUUAAGCAUAUCACUAAGCGGAGGAGAAGAAACUAACCAGGAUUUCCCUAGUAACGGCGAGCGAACCGGAAAGAGCCCAGCUUGAAAAUCGGGGCGCCUCGCGCCCCGAAUUGUAGUCUGGAGAAGCUCCCUCUGCGGCGCACCGGGCCCAAGUCCCCUGGAAAGGGGCGUCAGAGAGGGUGACAACCCCGUCGAGCCCGGAGCGUGCCGCUCCACGAGGAGCUGUCUGCGAGUCGGGCUGUUUGGGAAUGCAGCCCUAAGCGGGAGGUAAAUUCCUUCCAAGGCUAAAUAUGGGCAAGAGACCGAUAGCGAACAAGUACCGCGAGGGAAAGAUGAAAAGGACUUUGAAAAGAGAGUUAAAAAGUGCUUGAAAUUGCUGGGAGGGAAGCGAAUGGAAGCUGCGGGUGCGCCCCGGUUGGAUGUGGAACGGCCCUUAAACAAGGCUGGUCCGCCGCUCAACGCGGGGCGCUGGUCAGCGUGGGCCUUCGCGCCGGGACAAGAGCGGGACUUCGCGUCCCGUCUAUGCCGGUGCGGGGGCCGAGGAACGAAGCGCGCGCCCCCUCCGGGGGGCGUGGGGCUCGCCCCAACUGCGCGCUCGGGACGCUGGCGUAUUGAGCUCUUCAUCCGACCCGUCUUGAAACACGGACCAAGGAGUCUAACAUGUAUGCGAGCCGGUGGGCGGCAAACCCAUUGAGGCGCAAGUAACCUGACAGGUGGGACCCCGACCGCAAGGGAGGGAGCACCAUCGACCGACCGUGAUCUUCUGUGAAAGGUUUGAGUGCGAGCAUACCCGUUGGGACCCGAAAGAUGGUGAACUAUGCCUGAGCAGGGCGAAGCCAGAGGAAACUCUGGUGGAGGCUCGUAGCGAUACUGACGUGCAAAUCGUUCGUCAGACUUGGGUAUAGGGGCGAAAGACUAAUCGAACCAUCUAGUAGCUGGUUCCCUCCGAAGUUUCCCUCAGGAUAGCUGGAGCUCGUGUAAGAGUUUUAUCAGGUAAAGCGAAUGAUUAGAGGCAUCGGGGGUGUAACACCCUCGACCUAUUCUCAAACUUUAAAUAGGUAAGCCGCCGGGGUUGCUUGGUUGAACCCCGGCACAGAAUGAGAG